rnacentral:lncRNA from 1 species
UUAUACAUUGGAUUUUGACAUGUCAAUAUGAUUUCGCCGAAAAUUUGUUGUUGAUAGCGAUUCUUUUUGUUGAUGAUGUUCAUCGAUGAUGACAAUUCGAAGGCUUGUUUCUCAAAGAACAUUCGCAGUGGCCGCCUAAGAGCUUUCGCCUUCGCCAGGCUUGAGAGCUGAUGCUGCUAUAUUCCUUCCUUGGAUGUCUGAGACCUUGCCAUCCUGUACUUGCUAUGUUUCAUAACGCAGAUUGCUAUUGCUUCAGAUUAGGAUUUGCUCAGUCUUGUGAUGUGCAUACAAUUAUACAUUGGUUAUUGACAUGUCAUUAUGAUUUUGCUGAAAAUUUGUUGUUGAUAGCGAUUCCUUUCGUUGAUGAUGUUCAUCGAUGAUGACAAUUCGAAGGCUUGUUUCUCAAAGAACAUUCGCAGUGGCCGCCUAAGAGCUUUCGCCUUCGCCAGGCUUGAGAGCUGAUGCUGCUAUAUUCCUUCCUUGGAUGUCUGAGACCUUGCCAUCCUGUACUUGCUAUGUUUCAUAACGUAGAUUGCUAUUGCUUCAGAUUAGGAUUUGCUCAGUCCUGUGAUGUGCAUACAAUUAUACAUUGGUUGUUGACAUGUCAUUAUGAUUUUGCCGAAAAUUUGUUGUUGAUAGCAGAUUCCUUUUGUUGAUGAUGUUCAUCAAUGAUGACAAUUCGAAGGCUUGUUUCUCAAAGAACAUUCGCAGUGGCCGCCUAAGAGCUUUCGCCUUCGCCAGGCUUGAGAGCUGAUGCUGCUAUAUUCCUUCCUUGGAUGUCUGAGACCUUGCCAUCUUGUACUUGCUAUGUUUUAUCACCUAGAUUUCUAUUGCUUCAGAUUAGGAUUUGCUCAGUCUUGUGAUGUGCAUACAAUUAUACAUUGGCUGUCGACAUGUCAUUAUAAUUUCGCGGAAAAUUUGUUGUUGAUAGUGAUUCUUUUGGUGAUGAUAUUCAUUGAUGAUGACAAUUCGAAGGCUUGUUUCUCAAAGAACAUUCGCAGUGGCCGCCUAAGAGCUUUCGCCUUCGCCAGGCUUGAGAGCUAAUGCUGCUAUAAUCCUUCCUUGGAUGUCUGAGACCUUGUCAUCUUGUACUAGAUUUGCUUUGGAUUUGGAUUUGGAUUUGCUCAGUCUUGUGGUGUGCAUACAAUGGCGAAUUGGCUGUUGAUGUGCUGUUACCAUUUCGUGGGAAAGAUGUUGUUAAGAGUGAUUCUUUUUGGUAAUGAUAUUCAUCGAU